ACGGAAUUACGAUUUUUGGACGGAGUAGGACGCAAUGUCAGAGUGACAGCAAAAUGUUGGCGAUCGAUGCAAAAAAGCUUCAUAUGGAAAUCCAACAGGAUAAAAUAGUUGAAUCGUACUGCGCAUGUAAAGCAAGCUUGGAAAUAGCGAGCUGAGCCACCGAUGGGCUACACAUUGAGAAAGGGACCCCUUGGCACGCUCCCGUUUGCAGAUGUGAGCAUCGCCAAAUGACCCGGGCCUGUAAUUUGACGCCCGCCACUAAUGACAGAACUUUGGUGAUGUGCCCCUCGUCCACGAAAAACCACAGCGGAGGGAGUCGCGCAGCUGCACGACCGGGAAUGAAAACACGCGGUGGGAACAAUGAGGAGGCUGCCGGAUCAAAGGCUUCUCAAGGCCUCAUUCAGAUAAGAAAUAUAUUACACCCCCCCCCCCCCCCCCCAAGCGUCUUCCGCUUGAAAGAGUCUAAUUUGUACACUAUCCCUGCGGAAAAAAAAAAAAAUCAAUUAAAUCCCAUGUUUAAUAAUGGUACGGUGGAUCAGUUGGAAAGCGUUGGCCUCACAGUUCUGAGGACCCGGAUUCGAUACCGACCCCGCCUGUGUGGAAUUUGCAUGUUCUCCCGCACACGAUAGGAUCAGUAAGUACGCAUUAGGAUUUUUGUUCAAAGUCACUUAGACUGUUAAAAAAAAUGUCUGCUCGCCGCUUUAGAGGAACGUAAAUUACCGGGGGAUUGACAACUGACCCUUGAGGAACGCCAUGUGGAGUUGAGAUAGAGAAUUCAAGUUCCUCGAGCACAACAGACAAUAUUUAAUCGAAUAAGCUUUCAUUAAGCGGAAAAUCCAAAUUUCUUUUUAGCGGAACACGUCUGGCUCCGAGAUUUUCAAUCCUCCCUUCGGCUUUCCUUCGUGGAGUUUGGACAUUCUGUGUGUUUACGUGACUUUUCUUCGGGGAGUGUCGUGAGCAAGGCUUGGCCGCUCCCGGGAGGGGCGUGGCCGGGCCGCUGCUGUGGGCGGUGUCAUCUCUGGGUACUGUGAUUAGAUCAAGUAUUUAAGUUGGAGUUUUGUCACUGGCACUUGCCAGUUCGUUGCUUCGUGUUUAGUGAGCAUGCCUCACCGCCUCCCGCGUUACUCCGCGACUUAGCUUCACAGUCACCGAAGCCUGUUUCUCGUUUUUUGGAUCCUGCCUUCCUGGACUGUGUCAUUGUUGCAUCUCUUUAGUUAAGAAUAAAACCCAGUGAACAUUAUGCCUUUGCCUGGGAGUCCUGCAUUUGGGUCUGCCUCCGCACCGCCGGGAUGUGACCGGUACUACUUCUCACGUUGCAAAAACAUCCAAGUUAGCUUCAUUGGAGACUGAAAUUCACCAUUAGUGUAAAUAUGGAUUGGUUGUUUUUAUGUGCCUCGUGAUUAACUAAUUGGACUGACUGGGAAAGACUAACAAGAAAAAGUAGUCUAGAAAAUGAAUAUAUUUCUUCCGCCAAAUGAAUAAAUAGCCUAUAAAUGCAUGUAUAGUCCAACUAUGCUUAUAAUAUUUCAAAUGUAGAAUAAAGCGAGCAGAAGUGUUUUGAGGUCUUAAGAAAGCAUGACAUCAUGCAUUGUGGAGCAGACAUAACUGCAUUGCAUCAACUGGCGGUGCCACGAUGAAGUCUUUAAGGCCGCUUGUGUGAGAGCGAGUCCGCGGUUCAAAGGCUCCGCGAUGAAUGACAAAUUAUAUGGGCCCCGCUUUGAAAUCAAAUCUCGGAAAACUCCUAACCGCCGCGUCGCCGUAUUGUUCCAGAAAAUCUUCCACAUCACAUGCCGUCUGGAAUUGUUUUUCACACAAAAAGCCGGGGCCCGCCGCUUCCAAAUAUUUCGACGCUCCGGACUCUCAAAACAUCGGUCGACCACAGGUGCAAGUUUCCCAUACCAAUUAGCCGAGGGAUCCGCCCACAAAUUUGCUGUCCAAAUAAACCGGGGUGGUGGGGGGGACGCGUCAAGAAUGCGCAUUAAAAAUGGAGAGCGAUUGUUUUCGAUACUCGCCGCUUUAAUUGGAACCAGGCUCGGUUUCCGAUGCUUAAAAAAAAAAAAGGGGAUUCCUGAUUGAGGGACGCGAGCUUUCCUGUUUGGAGGAACGCGUCGUCGUUUGUCGGCCUUCGCGGUCACAUGGUCAAAGGUUCAACGCAGACCUCAAGCAACCGGGCCACGUGCGGUCAGGCUGGGGGAAAUAUCUAGUAACCGUUUUGUUUUUUUUUUCUUUCAUACCUCACCAGGCUACGCUUCUCUCCGUUACGCGUGUGGACGCCAUUUCGUCUUCUCCAAUUACACUCUCGCUGGCGGCUCCCCCCGUUGUUGCGACGCUUCUGGGAUUGCGGAAGGUGUUUCCACGGAGUAGGUGUUGUACCCCCUCCCAACAAAAACCUUGAAAUGAUGGAAAUAAACUCAUGGAGGGAAUAAUGGAAAGUGCUAUGCGGAAUGUCUGUAGUUCCUGGUUCAGUUUUGAGUCAUCUGUGCCAUCUGUUGUCAAUGCUUCUUCUUCUUCUUUAUCUUUCGGCUUGUCCCGUUAGGGGUCGCCUCAGCGUGUCAUCUUUUUCCAUCUAAGCCUAUCUCGUGCAUCUUCCUCUCUAACACCCACUGUCCUCAUGUCCUACCUCACACUCGCUCUUUUGCCUGGCAGCUCCAUCCUCAGCACCCUUCUACCAAUAUGUGUAUACUCUCUCGCCUCUGGACAUGCCCAAACCAUCGAAGUCUGUUCUCUCCAACCUUGUCUCCAAAACCUCCAACCUUUGCUGUCCCUCUAAUGAACUCAUUUCUAAUCACUCGGAGCGAGAACCUCAACACCUUCAUUUCUGCUACCUCCAGUUCUGGUUCCUGUUGUUUAUUCAAUGCCACCGUCUCCAAUCUGUACAUCAUGGCCGCCUUCACCACUGUUUUAUAGACUUUUGCCCUUCAUCCUCACGGAGACUCUUCAGUCACAUAGAACACCAGACACCUUCGGCCAGUUGUUCCAACUUGCUUGGACCCAUUUCUUCCCUUCGUUAGCACACUCACCAUUGCUCUGGAUUACUGACCCCAAGUAUUUGAAGUCCUCCACCCUCGCCAUCUCUUCUCCCUGGAACUUCACUCUUCCUCCUCCGCCCCUCUCAUUCACGCACAUUUAUUCUGUUUUACUUCGGCUAAUCUUCAUUCCUCUCCUUUCCAGAGCGCGCCUCCAUCGUUCUAAUUGUUCAUCAACCUGCUUUCAGUGCAGAUCACAAUAUCAUCUGCGAACAUCAUAGUCCAAAGGGAAUCUAGUGUAACCUCAUCUGUCAGCCCAUCCAUUACUACCGCAAACAGGAAGGGGCUCAGCGCGGAACCCUGAUGCAGUCCUACUUCCACCUUAAAUUCUUCCGACACACCUACGGCACAUCUCACUGCUGUUCUGCUGCCCUUAUACAUGUCCUGUACUAUUCUAACAUAUUUCUCUGCCACACCAGACCUGCGCAUGCAGUACCACAGUUCCUGUCUUGGUACUCUGCCAUAGCCUUUCUCUAGGUCUACAAAGAUACAAUGUAGCUCCUUCUGACCUUCUCUCUACUUUUCCACGAGCAUCCUCAAGGCAAAUAAUGCAUCUGUGGUACUCUUUCUAGGCAUGAAACCAUACUGUUGCUUGCAGAUACAUCCUUCCGUCCUGAGUCUAGCUUCCAUUACUCUUUCCCAUAACUUCAUUGUGACUGUUGUCAAUCCAAUGGCAAAAAAAACAAAAUAAAAUAAACACUAAAAAAAUGUUGUGAACAUCCACCUGAGGAAGAACGUGAUUUGUAAUGCUCAGUUAAUGUCUGCCUUUUAUGGACACACUGUAAAAGACCGUAAGUCGCAUUAGCAUUACGGCUAAUGAGCUAACUAGCAAAGAGUAUUUAGGAGCGUUCCCGCCCUCAUCUCAGUCGUGGUGUUUGUGAACCGGCUAUUGAGCCAUCACAUAACUCAAAACUCAUCUUUUACUCUUAUGACCGGAACCUUGUUAUACUUUAGCUACUGGACCAGAUUUGGCCCACCGGCACUAUGUUUAACACCAUACUUUGGCGGAACCUCGGACAAAGCAAAAAUAAUCCUAUAAAGCUAAAAAAAAAAAAAAAAAAAGGUAUGGGUUGUUGAAACUUUUUGGGGGCUGAUUUCAUUCAGCGGGUGGGGCACGGCCAGACACAAGGGAACAUACGGUGGCCUUAAAGGGGAAAAAAAGCCACACCAUCUUUCACCAUGGCGGCUCGUCUUUCCACCCCAAGAUCCCUGCCCGGACUCUGCGUGCCGCCGCCGCCGCCGUUCCGCCGCCGUGAAAAUGCCAGACCCAGCUGCGUUUGUUAUCCCGCCAGCAGGAAUCUCGGCAAACGCGCGGCGGCGUCACAUCUUAGCAGUGGGGUGAUAGUUCAACAACAAUCUGUUUGCUCAGCUGCUUUAUUCAAAUAAAACUAUUAAAAGAUUAUUUCAGCAGAGUUCCCCGCGAGGGAGGGGGGGCAACACACACCUCCUCAUUCACGAAGUUGACAUUGAUGGCUUUAACUCUUAGGUACUGUUUGAUGCAUCCAUCCAUUUUCUGUGCCACUUAUCCUCACAAGGGUACACCCUCAACUGGUUGCCAGCCGACCGGCCGCAUGCACAAUUGCAUCUAAAGGCAAUUUAGCGUCUCCAGUUUUUGGGAUAUGACAACAUUUUGAAAAGCGAAUUCAUAAUUUGAUAUACUGUACAAGAAGAUCACUACGACAUUCUCGCUCCGUGUUAAAAUUAACCCCGGAGCGUGCGAUGCGUGGGUGGAAAAUGAACCGUAUGCAAGAGUUGACGACGUUUAACCCCACUGGGGUGUGUGUUUUAUGUGGGCCGCUCCAGAACCGCUGCCUCCCUUGUUAUCUGUUUUUAAUGAUCCCCAAACCAUCGGUGUCCUCUGGAUCAGCGGCCUGCUUAUUUACUUUGCGCCCCGACCGAGAGAGAGGCUAUUUUUAUCUGGCGAGGUGGGCGGGUUGAGCAGGCACAUCUUUAAUUUUAAUCAAAACCGGACGUCGGGGGCAACGUCCUUGUUGUUCUUCCCUGCGAGUUCACGCGGUCCAAAGUCAUUACUGUCGCAAAUUCCGAGAAGGUUCUGACAUGCGGAUCCGGAAUUUGUCCUGCUCGUAGCAAAUUGGGAGGUUUUGGCGCAGCAGGGGUCGGGAAGCGAAUAGAUUGUGGGGGUCAAGAAAUGUUUCCAGUCACUGAAGGUACACGGGCCUGACUUUGGUGACGGUUUGAAUCUGACUGUUACGUUUUGUGUGUGUUUCUAUGGAUUGGAUAUGGUGGGCAGUCUCUCUUGAGCAGCUACAAUGCCGAGUCCGGGGUGUGGUCCACAUUUUGCCCGAAGUCAGCCAGUACAGGCUCCAGCUCACCUCUGAGCCUCAAGAAGAUGGGCAGCACAGAAA